AGUGAACGCUGGCGGUAGGCCUAACACAUGCAAGUCGAACGGCAGCACAGUAAGAGCUUGCUCUUACGGGUGGCGAGUGGCGGACGGGUGAGGAAUACAUCGGAAUCUACUUUUUCGGGGGGGAUAACGUAGGGAAACUUACGCUAAUACCGCAUACGACCUACGGGUGAAAGCAGGGGGUCUUCGGACCUUGCGCGAUUGAAUGAGCCGAUGUCGGAUUAGCUAGUUGGCGGGGUAAAGGCCCACCAAGGCGACGAUCCGUAGCUGGUCUGAGAGGAUGAUCAGCCACACUGGAACUGAGACACGGUCCAGACUCCUACGGGAGGCAGCAGUGGGGAAUAUUGGACAAUGGGCGCAAGCCUGAUCCAGCCAUACCGCGUGGGUGAAGAAGGCCUUCGGGUUGUAAAGCCCUUUUGUUGGGAAAGAACAGCAGCAGGUUAAUACCCCGCUGUUCUGACGGUACCCAAAGAAUAAGCACCGGCUAACUUCGUG
rnacentral:rRNA from 1 species